GACGAACGCUGGCGGCGUGCCUAAUACAUGCAAGUCGAGCGGACAGAAGGGAGCUUGCUCCCGGAAGUUAGCGGCGGACGGGUGAGUAACACGUGGGCAACCUACCCUGUAGAUCGGGAUAACAUCGAGAAAUCGGUGCUAAUACCGGAUAAUCAUUUGAAGUGCAUGCUUCGAAUGUAAAAGAUGGCUCCGGCUAUCACUACGGGAUGGGCCCGCGGCGCAUUAGCUAGUUGGUAAGGUAAUGGCUUACCAAGGCAACGAUGCGUAGCCGACCCGGGAGGGUGAUCGGCCACACUGGGACUGAGACACGGCCCAGACUCCUACGGGAGGCAGCAGUAGGGAAUCUUCCGCAAUGGACGGAAGUCUGACGGAGCAACGCCGCGUGAGUGAUGAAGGUUUUCGGAUCGUAAAGCUCUGUUGUUAGGGAAGAACAAGUGCCGUUUGAAUAAGGCGGCACCUUGACGGUACCUAACCAGAAAGCCACGGCUAACUACGUGCCAGCCGCCGCGGUAACAC
rnacentral:rRNA from 1 species